CAUUAAUGAAUUACAAAGUCGGCCGAGUUGUUGCUGGUAGAGGUAACUCUGCAUGUGCACACUCGUUCGCAAAUCCACACACACCUGUGCAUCUAUGACUCAAGGUUGUAACGACUGAGAGUACUUUUUUUACACUCUUGAAUGUAACGGAAUGUCUUUUURUGCUAUAACGUACAAAUUAUAAACAACUUUCAACAACGGAUCUCUUGGCUCUCGCAUCGAUGAAGAACGCAGCGAAAUGCGAUAAGUAAUGUGAAUUGCAGAAUUCAGUGAAUCAUCGAAUCUUUGAACGCACCUUGCACCCUUUGGUAUUCCGAAGGGUACGCCCGUUUGAGUGUCAUUGUAAUCUCACAUUUUGACUUUAUUGUUGAAUGUGGACUUGGAUGUUGCUGUUUUAUCUACGGCUCGUCUUAAAUGUCUGAGUGUACCCUGCUUUGCCAGCGUAUCAGGUGUAAUAAAUAUUUCACCCGAGUUGGUCUCACGAUCGCGCUUUACUUAGUAUGGCUCUAUGCUUUCAAACCGUCUUUUACAGACAAUUUCUGACAAUUUGACCUCAAAUCGGGUGGGACUACCCGCUGAACUUAA
rnacentral:rRNA from 1 species